rnacentral:tRNA from 1 species
CGGGGAGUAGCUCAGCUUGGUAGAGCACUGGUUUUGGGUACCAGACGUCGCAGGUUCGAAUCCUGUCUCCCCGACCA